rnacentral:lncRNA from 1 species
UAGAAUUUAAGAUGAAAAAUCGGGUUACUGAUAAUCAAGAGACCAAAAAAUAAUAAUAAACUUAUUGAGAAUAAGAAUAAAGCAGUAAAGAAUUUGUAUUUCAGUAUGAUAUCAAUGAGCUUUUCGUGUCCUUACAAAUAAUGAGACUUCUUCCUUUUAUAGUUGAUUCUAGAUAAAGGAAUGAAACUUAGGCUUCAAUGAGACAAUUAUGAGUAAUAAAUAACAUUCAAUAAGACGUUACAUAAUCAUUCCUAUUAAAUACCAAUUUUCCGACGUAUCAGGUAUUUAAUACUGAAUUUGGACUACUUUUUGUCAUAAGAUCCAUGUCUUCAAUGCAUUGUAAUCUGCUGACUUUAAAUGACUUGAAUUGGUACGAGACUCGUGUCUGAAUUACUUCUCAUGUCUGUUUAACUUUCUUUUCUCGUAUCUGUCGCCACUCGUGCCUUUUAUUCAAUUGUUACGUUUUGACUUCUUGACUAGUCCAUGUAUCAUGCCACAACAUCUUUAACAUAAAUUUUGGUUUUUUUCCAAUACACUGCUGACCUUGUAUUUUAUGACCUAAAACCAUCAAAAUAACAAACCUUUUUACAAGGUCAUUUUAGAUUGAAACUAGUUUAACAAAAAAGAGAUAGGGAGGCUACCACAAUCAUGUAUUUGCUGCACUUUUAACUUCUGCCGUCUAUAAAAAAAAUGAAUUAAAAUAAAUGUAAACUAUUGUAUGAGGCUAGGGUUGUCCAGCAUCAGUUAUCACAUUGUACAUAUUGAUACAGGUAAAUAAAAUCAUUUAAUUACCAACAAAAAAAUGUAAACUACUAUACAUAAUAUAAACUCAAGAACAUGAUAUUAAGGAACUAAAUUCAAAUCUCUAACACCAAUAAUACAAAGAAGCAGAACUCUCAGAUCUUGUAAUUUCUAUUUGAAAGCUGGAAAAAUAAAUUACCUGAAACAGGGGAUUGGCGAAGAGGAGACUAAGUAGUGGCCAACGGAGUAACAGUGAAGGUUGGCGGAUCAGCGGCAGUCGGAACUCGGAAUAGAAUAAGAGCGGCAAUAGUCGGACUCGGAUGAGCAGCGGUAGUCGCCAGUCAGAACUCAGAAGUCAGAAGUGAAGUGAAUCCUAAAAUAAAAAAUCGAAUGUGAUGAAAUUAGGG